AGUUAUAGCCAUAUCACCCUUAACUUACCUGAUACCGUCUCAUCUUGGAAGCCAAGCAGUGUUGGGAUGGGUUAGCAGUUGGAUGGGAGGAAAUGCCUACCCAAGAUUGACAGGAAAUAUUAAUAAAAAGUC
rnacentral:rRNA from 1 species